rnacentral:tRNA from 1 species
UGUCUCUUGGUGUAAUGGUAGCACUGAAGAUUUUGGUUCUUUAAGAAUGGGUUCGAAUCCUAUAGAGACAA